rnacentral:lncRNA from 1 species
UGGCUAAGUUUUAAGGGUGUGUUUGGUUCGCGCUAUCUUUUUAAGAUUCCUAAUUAUUCAAUAAAAAUAAAAAAAUAUGACGGUGUUUGGCUAAACGCACUAAGUAAUCUGAUUGGUAAUACUAGAUUUACUUAGGAAUGAGAUGCAUCACAAAAUACUAAUCUCAUUCCUUUGAGGGAAGGUGAGUAUCCUUAUAUUAAUAGAUUGGAGUAAUUAUAAUAUGUCUAAUCUCUUUUUUUUUCCCACCCGCCGGCUAGUUGGUAUUAUUUAUUUUUACACUCUAACCUCAUAUCUCUCUCUAAACUUAUUUUCUUUUUUUUUCUAAACUUCAACUCUUUCUCUCUCUAAAUUAAGCUAUUUCUCUCUCUCUUUUUCUAAAAUCUCAACCCUCUCAUUCUCUCUAAUCUCGACUCUAUUUCUUUUUCUAUUUCUUUAAUUAUGCUCUCUCUUUCUAAUCUACAUUCUCUCUCUUUUUUUCCUAAAAAGAUGUUGAAAUUCUUUUAUAGUAUUAUUUAAAAUUAAUUAAAAAAAUAAAUAAAUUAAUUAUAUAUUUUUUGUAAUCUUAAAUAACAUUAACUAAAUAAUAUGACCGUAAGAACCAAACACAGAAAUACCAUAUUCCUAGUAAUAGGAUGAAUAGGAAUAAGAUUCUCGGAUAUCAUUUUACUCCAAGUAAUCUUGUUACGCCCCGGGACCCGGCCUAGACCCGUCCGGCGCGUGUCCAGACCCGCCAUAUGUCUGCGCAUAUAAGACGUCUACAACAAAAGAGAUGCGAAAGAAAGAAGAAAUAAGUAUCUAGAGAUAUCAGAGCUGCUAACAACUAAAAACUAGCAACAAGUAGAG